CCCUUAGAUGUUCUGGGCCGCACGCGCGCUACACUGUUCGACGCAGCGAGUCUUAACCUUGACCGAAAGGUUUGGGUAAUCUUCAGCAAAGUCAAACGUGAUGGGGAUCGAUCAUUGCAAUUAUUGAUCGUGAACGAGGAAUUCCUAGUAAGUGCAAGUCAUCAGCUUGCGCUGAUUACGUCCCUGCCCUUUGUACACACCGCCCGUCGCUACUACCGAUUGAAUGGUUUAGUGAGAUCUCUGGAUUGACGCUGGCUAGGGGGCGACCCUUGGCCAGACUGCUCGAGAAACUGCUCAAACUUGAUCAUUUAGAGGAAGUAAAAGUCGUAACA
rnacentral:rRNA from 1 species